rnacentral:piRNA from 1 species
UGCUGUGCAAAUGAAUUCGGCCGUUUCU